rnacentral:rRNA from 1 species
UACGGAGGGUGCAAGCGUUGUCCGGAAUCACUGGGUGUAAAGGGCGCGUAGGCGGCUCAUGAAGGCUGUGGUGAAAGUCCGGGGCUCAACCUCGGAUCGGCCGUGGCGACUCGUGGGCUGGAGCACUGUAGAGGCGGGUGGAAUUCCGGGUGUAGCGGUGGAAUGCGUAGAGAUCCGGAAGAACACCAGUGGCGAAGGCGGCCCGCUGGGCAGUGGCUGACGCUGAGGCGCGACAGCGUGGGGAGCGAACAGG